GACGAACGCUGGCGGCGUGCUUAACACAUGCAAGUCGAACGGAAAGGCCCUGCUUUUGUGGGGUGCUCGAGUGGCGAACGGGUGAGUAACACGUGCGUAACCUGCCCUUGACUUUGGGAUAACUUCAGGAAACUGGGGCUAAUACCGGAUAGGAGCUCCUGCUGCAUGGUGGGGGUUGGAAAGUUUCGGCGGUUGGGGAUGGACUCGCGGCUUAUCAGCUUGUUGGUGGGGUAGUGGCUUACCAGGGCUUUGACGGGUAGCCGGCCUGAGAGGGUGACCGGCCACAUUGGGACUGAGAUACGGCCCAGACUCCUACGGGAGGCAGCAGUGGGGAAUAUUGCACAAUGGGCGGAAGCCUGAUGCAGCAACGCCGCGUGCGGGAUGACGGCCUUCGGGUUGUAAACCGCUUUCGCCUGUGACGAAGCGUGAGUGACGGUAAUGGGUAAAGAAGCACCGGCUAACUACGUG
rnacentral:rRNA from 1 species